rnacentral:rRNA from 1 species
ACUCAAAUGAAUAGACGGGGACCCGCACAAGUAGUGGAGCGCCUGGUUUAAUUCGAUGUUUAGCGAAAAAUCUCACCUGGGCUUGAACUGCAGCUGCUAAGCCGAUGAAAGUCGGAAUCCUUCGAGGGUGCUGUAGAGGUGGUGCACGGUUGUCGUCAGCUCGUGUCGUGAGAUGUAGGGUUAAGUCCCACAACGAGCGCAACCCCUACCCAGUGUUAUAUAUUUCUCUGGGGACUGCCUUGCCAAAACGAGGAGGAAGGAGGGGAUGACGUCCAAUCAGCAUGUCCCUUAUGUCCAGGGCUACACAGACGCUACAAUGGCCAGUACAAUGGGCUGCCAAGCCGCAAGGCGGAGCGAAUCCCAUCAAAACUGGCCUCAGUUCAGAUUGCAGGCUGGAACUCGCCUGCAUGAAGUCGGAAUUACUAGUAAUCGCGUAUCAGCAUGGCGCGGUGAAUACGUUCUCGGGUCUUGUACACACCGCCCGU